rnacentral:lncRNA from 1 species
AUCUACCUCAUCGUCAUUGUCCAUGUAGCAGAUUUGGGCCGUCUCUUGUUGAUCUUCCUCUUCCGAGCUUGACUCCUCACUUUCACUCCAUUCAACCAUGAAGUUCCUCUUCUUAAGUUUUCUUGCCAUCCAUUUCAAUUCCGGACAAUCUAUCUUGAAAUGUCCGGGCUUGUUACACUGAUAGCAAAUUGGUGUUUUCUUUUUCU